AACGAACGCUGGCGGCAUGCUUAACACAUGCAAGUCGAACGAGACCUCCCUUCCUAGUGCUCCACCGGCGCGUAACGCGUUGGAACCUGCCUUAAGUGCCCGAAUAACUCCCCUAAACGGCGGCUACUAGCGGUAAUUGUCUAUGGACCAAAGAUUUAUCGCCUUUGGAUGUGCCCGCGUUGGAUUAGUUAGUUGGUAGGGUAAAAGCCUACCGAGGCGACGAUCCAUAGCUGGUCUGAGACGAGGAUCAGCCGCACUGGAACUGAGACACAGCCCAGACUCGUACGGGGGGGAGCAGUAGGGAGUAUAAGACGAGGGGCGAAAGCCUGGUCCAGCAGUGCCGCGUGAGUGAUGAAGGCCUUAGGAUUGUAAAGCUCUUUUACCCGAGAUGAUAAUGACGGUACCGGGAGAAUAAGCGCCGGCUAACUACGUG
rnacentral:rRNA from 1 species